rnacentral:rRNA from 1 species
UCCGGUGAUGACAGCUAGGGGGAUCCACCUGUUCCCAUUCCGAACACAGCAGUUAAGCCCCUAUACGCCGACAAUACUUGGCUGGUAACGGCCUGGGAAGAUAGGUAAUUGCCGGAU